rnacentral:lncRNA from 1 species
AGGGAUUACACUCCACACAAUCUAAAAUAAAAGAAAGCAUACACACAAUAAACACAACAUUCAAUACAAAACAUGCGAUGAUGCAUAUGCCAUGAUGAUGCACACUUGCUUACUUCUAAAUGCAACAGGUUUUGUUUCUGUUUUGGAAAGCUUCUCAAAAGAUCUGGACAGGGUAUACAAUAAUAAAAGAGGUAAUUAAUAUGCAUGAACAAGCAUAGGUUUUUAUUAAGAGAUUAUAUGGUUUUUGCAAACAUAGAGCAAGAUUUACACUUGUAUGCCAUUAUCAUUACAAAAUAAUUUCUCUUCUGGUCCUAAUGGACAGAGAACAUGCUCGAAUAAUUUUCCAGCAAGUCAACAUGCUCAAAACCAUUUUGAAAUGACCAGGCCGGAGUUGAAGGGGAUGGCGGCACGGCGGCGGUUGGCGGCGCGGUCGGGUCGAGGUGGAGACGGCUCGGGCGUAGCGGUCGGGGCGGAGCGGCAUGGGCGGAGCGGGCGGCUCGGGACGGACGGAGCAGGCGGCGGCUGGCGGUGAGCACGGGCGGUGCUGCGGUCGUCCAAACACAGAAAUACGCGCGUCAAAAGUUGCAGAAAGGAGAGAGGAGUAAGGGAGGGGGUCGAUGCGGCGGGAGGUCACCGGAGUGGCGGCGGCGGCGCGAAAUUGGCGUUGGCAGAGAGCUCUUCUGGCGAGAAAUUACUUUCUAACCGAGGUGCAAUCGGGCAUGAGAUUUGGGGGAAGUGGAGAAGAAAAACGAGGGCUUCGGGAUGACGGGCAAGGAUUUGGAGAUUGGGGUCGUGGGCGAGCGGAACUUGGAGUGGAGUCGUGGGCGUCGUGGACUCGGGCGCGAGCGGAGAAAUCGGACGGAGGUUGAAGAAGGGCGUGGGGCCCACCUGGCAAUGGCCGAGCGAGCGGGGCAGGCCGGUCGGGCGGUUUGGUUCGGUCCAGUUCGGCCGGUUCUGCCGGUUUUCCCCUUUUUUUUUCUAUUUUUUGUUUUUGAACUCCAAAUUUGAUUCAAGGCUCCAAAUCACUCCAAAUAAAUUGCAACAAAAUUUGUAAAGUCAUAUUUUCAUAUGGUAUAACUUUUGGGACAAGAAUUUCCUCAAAUAAAUUUUUUAAAAAUACCUUUGGAUAUAAAAUGGCUUUUAGGGCCUUUUAGGCUAACAAAAUAAAUUAUUUUUUUAAAAUAAUUUCAAAAGCAAAUCUAUGGGAUAGCUUUAUAUAAGCAUUAAAUCCCUUUUUAUGCCAAUACCCUCAUGGGCUAAAACACAAAUUAAUCAAAAGCAAGAACAAAGACCAAAAUCAAAUAAAAGUACUUUUGUUAUGGGUUUUCCGGGUUGAUUUUUUUUCCAGGGUUUUCAAAUGUGAUCAAAUGCAAAGGUGACAUGAUGCUUAUGAUAUGCAAUGCAUAUGAAGGGUUUUGAAAAUUCGGAUGUUACAGACCUAACCCCCUUAAGAUGAAUCUCGUCCUCGAGAUUCCUGUUGGUUAGCAAAAAGGUGUGGGUGGUCUUCUCGAAGAUCAUCCUCGCGUUCCCACGUAGCUUCUUCUUGGGUGUGGUGAUUCCAUUCAAUCUUGCAGAAUUUGUUGGUCUUGGAACGGGUAUGUAUUUCGGCUGUUUCCAAGAUCCUGGUUGGUUUUUCUUCAUACAUGAGGUCGCUUUGAAUCUCAACUUCAUCAAGUGGAACUGUAUCCCUUAGUGGUGUAUCGGCCAUUUCCGGGUGACACUUCUUUAACUGUGACACAUGGAAUACGUUGUGGACACUUGUCAACACUUCAGGUAACUCCACCUUGUAAGCAGCACCGCCGCUCGCCGUCGUCCUAGGCAGCAGCCCCGUCCCCGUCUCGCCGCCCCACCCGUGUCACGG